GGGUGCGUAACACGUGGGCAAUCUGCCGAAGAGUGGGGGAUAGCUCGCCGAAAGGCGAAUUAAUACCGCAUGCGGUCGAGGAAGACAUCUUCCGAGAACUAAAGCCGGGGCAACCUGGCGCUCUUUGAUGGGCCCGCGGCCUAUCAGCUUGUUGGUGAGGUAACGGCUCACCAAGGCAAUGACGGGUAGCUGGUCUGAGAGGACGACCAGCCACACUGGAACUGAGACACGGUCCAGACACCUACGGGUGGCAGCAGUCGAGAAUUUUUCUCAAUGGGGGAAACCCUGAAGGAGCGACGCCGCGUGGAGGAUGAAGGUUUUCGGAUUGUAAACUCCUGUCAUCCGGGGGCAAUGCUAUGUCGUUAACUGCGAUGUAGUUGAUCGUACCGGAAGAGGAAGAGACGGCUAACUCUGUGCCAGCAGCCGCGGUAAUACAGAGGUCUCGAGCGUUGUUCGGAUUCAUUGGGCGUAAAGGGUGCGUAGGCGGCGAGCUAAGUUUGGUGUGAAAUCCUGGGGCUUAACCUCAGAAUUGCACUGAAUACUGGUUUGCUGGAGGACUGGAGAGGAGAUUGGAAUUCACGGCGUAGCAGUGAAAUGCGUAGAUAUCGUGAGGAAGACCAGUGGCGAAGGCGAAUCUCUGGACAGUUCCUGACGCUGAGGCACGAAGGCCAGGGGAGCAAACGGGAUUAGAUACCCCGGUAGUCCUGGCAGUAAACGGUGCACGUUUGGUGUGAGCGGUUUCGACCCCGUUCGCGCCGGAGCUAACGCGUUAAACGUGCCGCCUGGGGAGUACGGUCGCAAGAUUAAAACUCAAAGAAAUUGACGGGGGCCCGCACAAGCGGUGGAGUAUGUGGCUUAAUUCGAUGCAACGCGAAGAA
rnacentral:rRNA from 1 species